rnacentral:rRNA from 1 species
AUAUCAAUAAGCGGAGGAAAAGAAACCAACAGGGAUUGCCUCAGUAACGGCGAGUGAAGCGGCAAGAGCUCAAAUUUGAAAGCUGGCCCCCUCGGGGUCCGCAUUGUAAUUUGCAGAGGAUGCUUCGGGAGUGGCCCCCAUCUAAGUGCUCUGGAACGGGCCGUCAUAGAGGGUGAGAAUCCCGUAUGGGAUGGGGUGUCCGCGACCAUGUGAAGCUCCUUCAACGAGUCGAGUUGUUUGGGAAUGCAGCUCUAAAUGGGUGGUAAAUUUCAUCUAAAGCUAAAUAUUGGCCGGAGACCGAUAGCGCACAAGUAGAGUGAUCGAAAGAUGAAAAGCACUUUGAAAAGAGAGUUAAAAAGCAC